rnacentral:rRNA from 1 species
GACGAACGCUGGCGGCGUGCUUAACACAUGCAAGUCGAACGGAAAGGCCCUGCUUUUGUGGGGUGCUCGAGUGGCGAACGGGUGAGUAACACGUGAGUAACCUGCCCUUGACUUUGGGAUAACUUCAGGAAACUGGGGCUAAUACCGGAUAGGAGCUCCUGCUGCAUGGUGGGGGUUGGAAAGUUUCGGCGGUUGGGGAUGGACUCGCGGCUUAUCAGCUUGUUGGUGGGGUAGUGGCUUACCAAGGCUUUGACGGGUAGCCGGCCUGAGAGGGUGACCGGCAACAUUGGGACUGAGAUACGGCCCAGACUCCUACGGGAGGCAGCAGUGGGGAAUAAUGCACAAUGGGCGGAAGCCUGAUGCAGCAACGCCGCGUGCGGGAUGACGGCCUUCGGGUUGUAAACCGCUUUCGCCUGUGACGAAGCGUGAGUGACGGUAAUGGGUAAAGAAGCACCGGCUAACUACGUG